rnacentral:rRNA from 1 species
GGAAUAUUGGACAAUGGGCGCAAGCCUGAUCCAGCAAUGCCGCGUGAGUGAAGAAGGCCUUAGGGUUGUAAAGCUCUUUCGCCCGCGACGAUGAUGACGGUAGCGGGAGAAGAAGCCCCGGCUAAUUCCGUGCCAGCAGCCGCGGUAAUACGGAGGGGGCUAGCGUUGUUCGGAAUUACUGGGCGUAAAGGGCACGUAGGCUGGCUGUUAAGUCGGGGGUGAAAUCCUGAGGCUCAACCUCAGAAUUGCCUCCGAUACUGGCGGUCUUGAGUGCGGGAGAGGUGAGUGGAAUUCCCAGUGUAGAGGUGAAAUUCGUAGAUAUUGGGAAGAACACCAGUGGCGAAGGCGGCUCACUGGCCCGCAACUGACGCUGAGGUGCGAAAGCGUGGGGAGCAAAC